rnacentral:rRNA from 1 species
CCCUUAGAUGUUCUGGGCUGCACGCGCGCUACACUGAAGCGUUCAACGAGUAUUCACCUUGCCCGGGAGGGUUGGGUAAUCUUUUGAAAACGCUUCGUGAUGGGGAUAGAUUAUUGCAAUUAUUAAUCUUCAACGAGGAAUUCCUAGUAAGCGCGAGUCAUCAGCUCGUGCUGAUUACGUCCCUGCCCUUUGUACACACCGCCCGUCGCUCCUACCGAUUGAAUGGUCCGGUGAAAAUUUCGGACAGUGACGAUGCUGGCGGUCCGCCGCCGGCGCUGUCGCUGGAAGAUCUUUAAACCUUAUCAUUUAGAGGAAGGAGAAGUCGUANCA